CCAUCGAUAUGGCCCAAAGCCCACCGGCACAAUCCAUAACCGAACAGCCCAGAACCCAUCGGUCCGGCCCAGAACCCGAUGACCCCGAAUUCAUCAGCAUGGCCCGGAACCUACUGGCAUGGCCCAAAACUUGCUGGCAUAGUUUAGGACCCAUCGGUCUGGCUCAGAAUCUGUCGACACGGUCCAAAAUCUGUCAGCACAGUUCAGAACCCACCGGCAC
rnacentral:lncRNA from 1 species